UUAUUCACCUUGUAGAUUCAGUUGGUUCUUCCUCUAAUUAUCUCUGCAUGUUUGGACGGCGAGAGUUCAUCCAAACUGACUACACUGCAGAACUCUGGAGACUCCGACGACAACUGGGUUUCAUCAAUCCUGGUAUCAAAACCUUCAGCUAGUCCAGGAUAUUACUGCAGGAAACUCCAGGCGGGAAGCGUCUCUCCCAUUCAGGCCUUCGUCUGAUCAGCUUCACAGCCUCCACUCCAGGAGAGGAUAAUCAAGAGUUUAAAGGAAAAGUAAAGCGAGGGGAACACAUUAAGUGUCGGCUGGUGCGGGUAUCAUUUAAAAUCAGCGCUGAUGGCUUCAUUGCUGCCAUGCUGUAACCUUGAGCGAGGGCUGGUGGGGCCCUGGUGACCACGCCGGGAUGGGGAGAGGGAUUGGCUCUCUUUGCAUUCACAUUCAGCUCAGCAGGCACCCGGGGGCUAUAACCCUGAGAAUCCGUAUUAGCCCUCCAUCCCCGUCAGCCUGCAGCUCCUCGCAGGAGAUCCUCCGCUGCCCUGUGGCCUUUUCAACAGGACGGCGAAGAACCCGACAGGCUAUCUUCAUCGUGCACUCGAGUACCGAAGCGAGGGAAGCCGCGGCGCUCGCAUUUCAAAAGCAGCUGCUCCUGCAGGCCCGAUAAAGGACUCCUGGCUCGGCACAUGUGGAAAUAAACUGACAAA